ACGGGAGUGGCGAAAUCGGUAGACGCACCAGAUUUAGAUUCUGGCGCUGCGAAGCAUGCGAGUUCAAGUCUCGCCUCCCGUA
rnacentral:tRNA from 1 species